rnacentral:rRNA from 1 species
GACGAACGCUGGCGGCGUGCUUAAUACAUGCAAGUCGAACGGAAAGGCCAUGCUCUUGUGGGGUGCUCGAGUGGCGAACGGGUGAGUGAAACAUGAGUAACCUGCCCUUGAAUUAGGGAUAACUUCAGGAAACAGGGGCGAUUACCGCAUAGGAGCUCCUGCUGCAUGGUGGGGGUUGGAAAGUGACGGCGGUUGGGGCUGGACUAGAGGCUUAUCGGCUUGAUGGGGUGGUAGUGGAUUACAAGGGCUUUGACGGGUAGCCGGCCUGGGAGGGUGACCGGGCACAUGGCUACUGCGAGACGCCCCAGACUCGUACGUGAGGCAGCAGUGGGGAAUAUGGCACAAUGGGCGGAAGCCUGAUGCAGCAACGCCGCGUGCGUGAUGACGGCCUUCGGGUUGUAAACCGCUGUCGCCUGUGACGAAGCGUUAGUGACGGUAAUGGGUAAAGAAGCACCGGCUAACUACGUG